CAGCAAGGAGGCGAGGAGCGGCGGCGGCGCUGAGCCGGGCCCGGGUGUGGGGGCGCCUAUAUCCCCAGCCCAAGCUGCAGGAAGCCGCGCCGCUUCCUCGGAGGGGCUGGGACGGCGGCGGCCACGUGGGGGGCGGGGGCGACGCUCGGGGCCCGCGGCUGGAGGGGGAGUCGCUGCCUCACCCGCGCCUGGCGCCCGCGGCUCCCUCCGCCUCGCCGGCGUUGGCCCACCCUCUCGUAGCUCACCCCGCGAGGCUGGACAGCUCCCGGAACCCCGGAACCGGGAUCUAUUUCGGGGGCUCGGCUGCGUGGCGCCCAGGACUCUCCAGGGUCUCCCAGGAUCGCUCCCCGAAUUCGAGUCGCCCCCUCUCUCUUUCGGGAAUACCAGCUGAUGUCAGUCCGCCAGCCAAAACCAGGGAGGAGAAGCGGGAGCCAGCCCUCUGGAGUCGGGAGAAGGUCUGGGGAGUGGGGUAGAGGGGAAAGCAAAGUCCAAAUACCUUCCCUUCAGACACCUCCUGGGGCCUAGACCCCACAAACCUGUUGUGGGGAGGGCAAAAUACGAUGACUACGUUCCCAGGAAGAAGGUGCCACAGCUCUUCAGGACCACGGUUGGGAGAAAGAAUGGAGGGGUUUUAGAACCUUCAGUGUGCGACUUCAUGUGCCAGUCUUCAUCUCAGGAUCUCAAGCUCUUGGAUCAUGGGCACGGAUAACCUGUUGUCCUCCUCUAUGGUCAAGAGGCUGCUUUUGCAAAGAAUCCAGUGGGAGAGAGUCAAUGGCCUGCUUGACGUGAACUCCAAAGUCCUCCUGGCCAAGGGUCAUCCUGCCUGGAGCAGGGCAAGAGGUGACUUGACCCUUAGGAAGAGUGGCAUCUCUAAUCUUCAACUUCCACCACCACCACACACACAAAUGCAGAGCCACCCAGGAGGAAGUAAAAAGUGCUAGGGCCUUCUACACCUUGAAAUUAUAUGUGGAGCAUCCUGCAAUAAGCAUCUCUGUGAUGCACAGUCAUUCACACCUGCUGGUCUCUCCCCCAGCUGUCUGCAAAAUGAAGAGCAGAGCACAAGAGAACAUGUGAGAAAGAGGCAGGGUCGGGGAAGCCAGAAGUCCUGGCUGGCAGGGGCUGAUCCUUCCUAACUAGAGAGAGGAGACACACUUCUUGAGAGGGCAGGGAGAUAGCAGGGAGAACUAGAGGAGCUAUAGCCAGGGAGCCAGCUAAGGGAGGGAAGACAAAGGAGUGGAGACACAACUACUCCAUCUCUCCCCAGCCUCCUCAUCUCCAGAAUGAUGGCACACCUGGGAGGGGCCUGACUACCUUUCAGGGGGAAAAAUGGUCACUGGGCCUGGUGCGGUGGCUCAUGCCUGUCAUCCCAGCACUUUGGGAGGCCAAGGUGGGUGGAUAACCUGAGGUCAGGAGUUCGAGACCAGCCAGAACAACAUGGUGAAACCCCAUCUCUACUAAAAAUACAAAAAUUUGCUGGGCGUGGUGGUGCCUGCCUGUAAUCCAGCUACUUAGGAGGCUGAGGCAGGAAAAUCGCUUGAACCCGAAAGGCAGAGGUUGCAGUGUGCCGAGAUUAAGCCACUGAACUCCAGCCUGGGCAACAAGAGUGAAACUCUGUCUGAAGGAAAAAAAAAAAAAGCCAUUGGAGAAGACGGGGUCCUUCCAGAGAAGCUGAUCAAGUCAUAUUACUCAUCAACUGCUGGGGACCUAACAGUCACUACCAUGUAUUGAACACUUACUAUGGGCUGCAUAAUGUGCCUACUGACGCAUGUGCUGAAAGCUUUGCAUGUAUGUCUUAAAGCCACACCACUAUAACAUCAGAAUUAUCUUCUCCAUGUGUGAAAUGGGGAAACAGGAGGAGAAAGUUUACAAUCCCAGAGCUAGUAAUUGGCAGAGCCAGGAUUUAAACCCAGGAUAUCUUGAUGCUAAAGUUCAUGUCUUAACCAUUAUGAUUUAUCACCUCCUCUCACUGCAGAUCAGAAUACCAAUUUCUUACUGGGUCUGGAAAGGAGGAGAGAAGGAUAGAGAGUUUCUUCUAGGACCAAAUUGAUUCCUCCACAAAUAGGAAGAUCCCCAGACUGUGUGCACACACCCUCCUCCUCCUUCCUUCUCCAACCCUGGCUGGACCAUGACAUCACAUGGUGGAGGCUGUUUUUUAAAAAGAACUCAGGCCAGAUUUACAAGAAUGAUGCUCAGGCAGCGUGACUGUCAAGGACCGUGGCCAAGUGACCCAUAGCACACACCCAGCAGUGCUGAGAACAUAGCUAGUCCCUUAGCACCUGGGGCUGACUCAUGGUUGCUGUAGGACCCAAUGCCAGAUGCCAGGAUUGCUUUCUCCCUCCAUUCAUUAGGACUGUCCCAUGAAACCCUCCCCAGGAACCCUUCUACCCCAUCCCGGCAUGCCAGGAGCCUGGAUACUGCAUAACACAGGGUACUCAUAUUUGUUUACCAAGCCUUGAAGAUGACAGGCAAUAUGCUGAUAUGCUCAAUGCAUCAUACAAAUUGUUUUAUUUAAAACUGAACUAUUAAAUUAAGUAUCAUAGCAACUCACUUUACAGACAAGGAAACUGAAGCUCAAAGGUUAAGUAAGGGCCAGGCAUGGUGGCUCACUCCUGUAAUCCCAGCAGUUUGGGAGGCUGAGGUGGGAGGAGGAUUGCUUAAGCCCGCGAGUUUGAGACCAGCCUAGGCAAUAUAGGGAGACCCCAUCUCUACAAAAAAUUAUCUGGGCCUGGUGAUGUGUGCCUGUAGUCCCAGCUACUUGAGAGGCUGAGGUGGGAGGAUUGCUUGAGCCCAGAAGUUGAGGCUGCAGUGAGCCAUGAUCAUGCCAUUGUACUCCAGCCUGGGCAGCAAAGCAAAACCCUGUAUUGAAAACAAACAAACAGGCUGGGCACGGUGGCUCACACCUGUAAUCCCAACACUUUGGGAGGCCGAGGCAGGUGGAUCACCUGAGGUCAGGAGUUAGAGACCAGCCUGGCCAACAUGGUGAAACCCGCCUCUACUGAAAAUACAAAAAUUAGCAGGGCAUUGUGGCACAUGCCAAGGUGGGCAGAUCACCUGAGGUCAGGAGUUCGAGACCAGCCUGGCCAACAUGGUGAAACCCCAUCUCUACUAAAAAUACAAAAAUUAGCUGGGCGUGGUGGUGGGCGCCUGUAGUCCCAGCUACUCAGGAGGCUGAGGCAGGAGAAUCGCUUGAACCUGGGAGGUGGAGGUUGCAGUAAGCCAAGAUAGUGCCACUGCACUCCAGCCUGGGCGACAGACAAAAAAAAAAAAAAAAA
rnacentral:lncRNA from 10 species